CUGACUCAAAGGGUGGUGCCCCGCCUAGGUCAAGGAGGUGGGUUUCCAAACAUCACAAGACCGCUUGGCGAGGUUAGUCACCACGCCUGGUGGCACCUCUAGUGCAUAAAGUUAGCUAAAUCCAUGGUUUAUCGACUUUCAAAAAUGUUGCUUGUUUGGGCUGGAGAGAUGGCUUAGAGGUUAAGAGCACUGGCUGCUUUUACAGAGGACCCAGGUUCCGUUCCCAGCACCUGUAAGAGUUGACUGAUUGAUGAACCAAAGGAAAAGAAUCAGAACGCCACGUGCUGGUGCAACCGAAAAUGAGGAGAAGACUGACCACCUUGUCCAUCUCACCUUGGGAAUUUGAUCUGUACACCGUCCGUCCUGUUCUUGGGAUCAUGUUAGCGGCUCUUUGUGAAGGACAAGUAUCAUGGGGAUCAUCAGGAGCCACUUCUGGGAGAAGAGAAUGAGUGCAAUUGAUUCCAAUAGGGCAGAAGGUGGGGCUCCACCCCCUAUUGGUCAGAAGAGGAAGCCUGGGGUCCACUGUGAUUGCACAUAGCUAAGGAGAGCAGGAGUGGUUAGGGUAGAGGGUGGUACACCUCGCCUCACUCAGGGGACUCUGGCUGGCUAAGUGACUGAGGAGGAAAUGGGGCGCUGUGUUUGGCUAACAGAUUGCUUUGCUCUUUUUGGAUGACCUCACUUCCGCUACAGUGGAAGAGUGUGGAGUCCCUCUGGCACAGGGCAGACCCUCUUUAGAGCCUACUGCAGGAUGGUGGGGCAAACAUGCCUCCUUCCAUUCAGCAGGAGCAAAGGAGGCCAUAUUUUGAUAAUGACAUGAUUCCCAGGAAGGUUAAUCUGAGACAGCAUUGUCUGAACUUGCUGGUUUCUUCGGACUUAUCAUGAAGUCCAUCUGUGACUUAAUGAAACUUUACAGGAGAGAGUCCAAGCACUGGUCUAGGGAAAGUGCCAAAGAUGACUCUUACAUGAAGAACACUCUGGAAAGUUUUCACCUCAAAUAAUGAUCCUCUACCUUUUUGAUUGUCAAUGUGGCAAAUACCAUGCUAAAUAAACAUUAACCAUGAUUUCUGUCAGGAGCCAUGCCUUCUUGAAAGGGACUUUCCAAACCUCUCCUAAAGACUGAAGGUCACCCCCACCACCACACUGUUGAUUGUUUUCUCUGAUUGACAGUCGCUGGUAUAAACUCUAGGCUAGAGGAAGAGAAGUCACUAACCAGCUAAAUAAUUAUAUUCUGUUUUUUUUUUUUAAAGAGAAUUAUUUUUCAAGGUGUUAGCGUGCCCGUGCAUUGUGUAUGGUGCACAUUUGUAGAGAGGCCAGCAAAGGACUCCAGCUGUCAUCCUCAGGAAUGCUAUGCACCUCUUUGGAGGUAGGGUCUCUCCUUGGCCUGGAUCUAUCUAUGCUAGACUAGGUGACCAGAGAGCCCAGGAGAAUCCUCCUGUGUCCUCUUCCCCAGUGCUGGGGUUACAAGUGUCCAUCUCCAUGCCUAGAUUUUCCAAUGUGGAUUCUGGGAAUCACGCUCGAAUCUACGAUGCUUGCAAGGCCAGCACUUCCUGACGGGGCAAUCCCUUGCAGCUCAUGUUUCUCAGAGGAUUCUGUUACUAGUUGUAAGUCUGUCUAUAGGAGGCCAGUCACCUUGCGCAGUGGAGUCUCCAGCUAUAAAACUGAAGUCAGCCUUCAGAUCGUGCUAUGCGCACCAGGAGAGCAAGUCCCUGUAGGCUCCUGAGGACACAGCCUGCCAGGGUUCUCCUCUUUGCCUCAGAGCUGGUUUCUAGUUGUUCCCCUAGCUUUGUUUCAACUAGAAACUCACACACGUACCCCCUCCUCCACACGGUUUAUUCCGCCACGAUUGAUGACCUUCCACCUUCUGUCAGCGCACCUUUCCUAAAGAGACUGGAGAUGCAAAUUAAAGCAGGCUUUUUUAAAAGUGUGUGAAGAUGGACGGCCUUCCUGGAAGAUUCUAAUGUACACACCCAGACCUGAGUGUCCCGCUGGUGGCUGAAGUGGGAAUGCCUAGUGAGAAGUGUGCCAAGUUGGUUUGUGCAUCCACACUGGUUCUGUUAUGAAGGAGUGGUAAUAAUUACACAGUGCUGUGCUUUCUGUAAGAAAGAGUCCAGGCGAUGGCCUCAAGCAUGUAAUAAAUCCUCCAUCAAUUAUCUUUACAACUUCCUAGUACUGUACUUAAAUAUGAUCAUGGAUAAAAAGCCGAUAAAGGGUGAGUCAUAACGGACUAAAUCUUUGACUUCUCUGCAGCCUCUUCAGCAGUCUUAGUCCUUUCUGUGUCUUCAAACAGUGGCCAUUAUAGUCUAUAUCACAAAUAUGGUCUAUAAAUUCAACAUGGAACAACACCUUGCAUUUAUACUAAUGGUGUUGCUGAAAAGAAUCCAGAGCCUUUCAGGGGCCAUUAACUCAUUUAUCAUACCUAUACAUGUCUUCUUGAAUUAAGCUUCUAUGGCUCCCUAGUUUGCGUUUGGUAUUUAGUGUCAAGUGCUUAUAGAUUCAGAAGAAAGUAGUUGUCUGUCAUUCUUUUUAAAAUAUUUUCUUUUAUGCUCUUAAAAUUCAAUGUUUUCAAUUUAAUUUCUCAAUGCUAUGCUCCACCCACUACACAAUCCCAGAUGACAGGCUUAUUUUCUCCACCCUCAUCCCAUCUUCAUUGUUUUUUCUUUAAAUUGUGUGCAUGUGUGA